CCCCAAAGCCAGUGAUGCUCAUCGCCCCUGACUAUGUCUCCAGCCUCAUCCCCCCAUUGUAUACCACUUUGGAACUGCCUCCCUCCCUCCCACUUGUCCUUGUCAACUGGGCACAGGAGUCACCUCUUCUGGGAAGCCCUCCAUUUUGUUCCAGCCCAGGUGACCCCUGUGGACCUCAGGCCCCCUGCCUCCCUCCUGCUCACCAGCACUCUGUGGUGUGGACAGACUUAACACUGGCCUGGCCUAGUCCAGACCUGCUGCAGGAAAAAGAGAGCACCCUGCUUGCAGCAGAGGAUGGUUGCAGAGCCUAAACAGCCUUGAUUAAGUGUCUAAAUGGACAGGCCUGGGCAGUGCCCAGAUGGAGUAUAGCAGACAUUGUCCCUGCCCUCUGGGGCUUCUAGGAUGAUCCAGACACACAGAUGGGGACAGACAUGGAUGGGGAGCCAGGGAAGAAAAUAAAACAGAAUGUGAAAUCAGACUCUAUGUGUGUAUACAUACGUAUUAGAUGUCAAGGUAGAAGAUGGUAAGCCUUCUUACCAUCCCCUGGGGAGAACCUGACUGAGAAUGAAGCCAACACAAGAAGAAAGCAGAAAGUGGAGCCAAGAGGUGCUCAACACUGAACACCUGUACCUGACUUUGCCUGGACCUUGACCCUAACCCUACUCCAGGAAAUUUCAGUUAUGUUGAAUUAUAUUCUCUUUUUUUGUUUGUUUG